rnacentral:rRNA from 1 species
AGAGUUUGAUCCUGGCUCAGGACGAACGCUGGCGGCGCGCCUAAAACAUGCAAGUCGAGCGAGAAGCAGGACUUCGGUCUUGUGGAGAGCGGCGAACGGGUGCGUAACACGUGAGCAACCUGCCCCGAAGACCGGGACAACUCGAGGAAACUCGGGCUAAUACCGGAUGUCCUCACCGGAUCGCAUGGUCUGGUGAAGAA